AAGAGCCGCAGUACACUGACUGUGCAAAGGUAGCAAAAUAAUUUGUCUCCUAAUUAGAGACUAGAAUGAAUGGUCUGACGAGGAAAAAUCUAUCUCAAAACUAACUUUAAAAUUGACAUUUAAGUAAAAAGGCUUAAAUAAUCCAGCAAGACGACAAGACCCUAUAAAACUUUACCUUUUUCAUUAAAACUAAGAAUAAAAAAAAUAAGGGUUUAACUGGGGCGGUAUUUAUAUAAUUUCUAACUAUACAACUCACACCAUAUAUAAAUGAAUAAAUAAUUCUUUCUUUAAACAUAACAAAAGUUACUUUAGGGAUAACAGCAUAAUAUUCUUAGAGAGCCCAAAUCGACAAGAGUGAUUAUGACCUCGAUGUUGAAUUAGGAAACCAUCUAAAAGC
rnacentral:rRNA from 1 species